rnacentral:rRNA from 1 species
AUAGUUUGAUCAUGGCUCACAGCGAACGCUGGCGGCAUGCUUAACACAUGCAAGUCGCACGAAGGCUUCGGCCUUACUGGCGGACGGGUGAGUAACGCGUAGGAAUCUAUCCAUGGGUGGGGGAUAACACUGGGAAACUGGUGCUAAUACCGCAUGAUACCUGAGGGUCAAAGGCGCAAGUCGCCUGUGGAGGAGCCUGCGUUCGAUUAGCUAGUUGGUGGGGUAAAGGCCUACCAAGGCGAUGAUGGAUAGCUGGUUUGAGAGGAUGAUCAUCCACCCUGGGACUGAGACACGGACCAAACUCCUACGGGAGGCAGCAGGGGGGAAUAUUGGACAAUGGGGGCAACCCUGAUCCAGCAAUGCCGCGUGUGUGAAGAAAGUCUUCUAAUUGUAAAGCACAUUCAACGGGGACGAUGAUGACGGUACCCGUAGAACAAGCCCCGGCUAACUUCCUGCCAGCAGCCGCGGUAAUA